AGUGAACGCUGGCGGUAGGCCUAACACAUGCAAGUCGAACGGCAGCACAGUAAGAGCUUGCUCUUUCGGGUGGCGAGUGGCGGACGGGUGAGGAAUACAUCGGAAUCUACUUUUUCGUGGGGGAUAACGUAGGGAAACUUACGCUAAUACCGCAUACGACCUACGGGUGAAAGUAGGGGAUCUUCGGACCUUGCGCGAUUGAAUGAGCCGAUGUCGGAUUAGCUAGUUGGCGGGGUAAAGGCCCACCAAGGCGACGAUCCGUAGCUGGUCUGAGAGGAUGAUCAGCCACACUGGAACUGAGACACGGUCCAGACUCCUACGGGAGGCAGCAGUGGGGAAUAUUGGACAAUGGGCGCAAGCCUGAUCCAGCCAUACCGCGUGGGUGAAGAAGGCCUUCGGGUUGUAAAGCCCUUUUGUUGGGAAAGAAAAGCAGCAGGUUAAUACCCCGCUGUUCUGACGGUACCCAAAGAAUAAGCACCGGCUAACUUCGUG
rnacentral:rRNA from 1 species